GGAUGCCUGCCAUAGAUGUGGGCGAAACGUCAGGAGAGAAUACUUCUGGAACAUGGCCACACAGCCCGAAAGACAUACAACAACCCUGUGAUCCCGGCCAUGAAAGCCUUCAACAGUACUGAAAUAAUCCAAUAUACAACUUAAAACAUUAAACUAAGGACUAUUAAAACUAUAGUUAUGCUCUUGCCCAUGGAGAUGGACAUUUUAUAAUUUUUACAAAGAAAUACAGUGCUCUGUCUGUGACAAUGUAAUGCUAAGGAGCCCUAGUGGGGAUAGAAGUCCCAUAGGGAAACAGUUGCAAUGACCUUAUGUAGCUCUGAAAGCAAUGGUUCUCAACCAGGAAAACUUCAAAUGUUGUUUGAUAUAAACUCUCAGAACCUCUGGCCAUCAGCCAGCCUAGCUGGGACUUUUUUCUUUGAAAAAAGGAAAAGGAACCCUGCCAUAGAAGAUGAUCACACAAGAUAAAGCAGCCUUCAAAGAAAAGGGGGAAAAGAUAGCCCAAAGAGAACUGGGAAUGGAAAAUGGGUAUUUGAGCUGGCACCAUUGCCUCUGGCAAAAAAAUCAUAUGUAGCUUUUUAAAAAAAAUUCAGACAGUAGAUACAGCUUAUUGUAUUUGGCCAUUUCACAGACUGAUAUAAAAUGUGGUACUUCUCCCCAUGAGUUUUCACAAUUGCAGUCUGUUGCACUAUAGCCUUGGGUACAGCUUUUCACCCAGCACCACACCAAGGUCCAGUAGUUUCUAACUACAGCAGUUUAUUUACAAAAGCAUGUACAUAAGGGGAAAAGGACAUUUCCCAAAAAGCAGUAGAAAAAUGCUAUAAAAUUGCAGUAGUCCAUAUAUACAAAGUUCAUUAGCCCAAAAUAGCAAGGUACAGUAGAGUCCUAUUUAUCCAACAUAGACGGGCUGGCAGAACGUUGGAUAAGCAAAAAUGUUAGAUAUAAGGAGGGAUUAAGGAAAAGCCUAUUAAACGUUAAAUUACAUUAUGAUUUUAUAAAUUAAGCACCAAAACUUCAUGUUUUACAACGAAUCGACAGAAAAAUAAGUUCAACACAAGGUAACGUUAUGCAGUAAUUACGGUCUUUACGAAUUUAGCACCAAAGCAUCGCAAUGUAUUGAAAACAUUUACUACAAAAACAUUGACUACUUAAAAAUUGACAAUUAAAGAUAAAAUUGCAUAAAAUGAACUUACAGUAACAACAUUGUCAGAAGUUAAAUCCGUAAAAACUUCAGUCUUUGCUGCCUAGAGAAACAUCUGUGGAUCCGGGCAGGAGGCAGACUGUGUUGGAUAAUCCAGAAUGUUGGAUAAGUGAAGGUUGGAUAAGCGAGAUUCUACUGUACAUGGAAUCCAAGAAGUCAAGAUCAUAGACAUAAAUCCAUAAGCAUGAAAACAUGAAUGUUUCCAAUUCAAUACAAAACUCUUACAGGCAAAUACAAGAUAUUUGAAUUAUGAGCUUGAGAGCUGAACAGGAACUUAAAUCUACAGCAACAUUGUCUGCUCUGGAGACACCAAGUAAACAUUACUUAAUUUAAGCUCAGCCUUGACCAAGAAGCCAUGAGGUCAUAUCUUUGACACCUGGAUCUCAAGGAUUUCUCACAGAGUCAUUCUGAAUUACUACUUAAUCUAUCCUUCACUCCCUUCAUGUGGGGCCUAAUCUGAUAUCCCAGGAAACCUCUCCAUCUUCUGCUUAAGGUUGAUUCCCAAAAGAAACGGACUUUCCCCCGGUUGCUAAGGAACAAACAUUGGGAUCCCAAACAUCCUCUGUCUGAACUGCAGCUGGCACUUCUUUCUGAUCUAAGGCCUGCAAUUCACUCUGAUCAUACAUAGACUCCUCAUUGGGGAACCUAUCAUCCCCCUCAUCCACUGAGAAACCCCCAGCACCUUGCUGCUGAGUCCCAACACAGUCUGCCUCCAUCCUUGUACACUUACAACUUUACUGACCUAACUUGCUAACAAUAGGACAUUUCAUUUUCGAUGCUAAUGUAUUCAGGCCUUGUGGAAAAGUGUAUGUGUGUGCCUUCAACUCGCCUGUUGACUUAUGGCAACCCUGUUAAUUUCCUCAGGGUUUCUUAGACAAGGAACAUUCAGAGGUGGUUUUGCCAGUUCCUUCAGGGUGUUUGAAAAAGAACUCCCUAGUUUUAAUGUAUCUAUACUUAAAACUAGGGAGGUCUUUUACAAACACCCUGUAUAUCCUACAGCACCUUGUAGAGGGGCAGUUUGGUAUGUAUCUAUGAGACCUAACUGGCAAACCAUUCCCUUCCCCCUUAAAAAAGAGUUUAAAUGUUAGGACAAUGCCUGGCUGGUUUUGCAGAAUGCUGAAAAUACAGAGUAGGUUUUAUUAUGAUUGUUAUGAAGAGCAGAAUCCUUGUUCUGAUUGUUAUGGGCCUACAAGUCAACUCUAAGUUAUAGUGCUCUAUUCUAGUUUUUUGCCUUCCUCUUGGGCUGAAAGAGUGUGAAUUGCUCAAAGCCACCCAGUGGGGUUCCAUGGUUAAGCGGGGAUUUAGGCCCUGGUUAUAGUUAUGCCAAGGAAUCUUGGAAUUUGUAGUUUGGUGAGGCACCAGCACUCUUUGCUAGAGAAGGCUAAAGACCUUGUAAAAUUACAAAUCCCAUGAUUUCAGAACAUUGGGCUGUAGCAAAGUGAUAUGUGUAACUAAGAAAAAGGCCAUGGCUUGAUUAUCAAAAGUUACACUAUCCUAGAAUCUCAUAUAAUCUGAAAAAUGCUAUAAAAAUGCCUUAAUUACAUUUUGUUCAACCUCAUGUUAACACGACAUAACCUCUUCUAUCAAAACCACCUGAGAGAUGUCUUAAAUUUGCUCGCAUGUUUGCUUGCAGGUAAAAAUUUCAGUUUAUUAAGUUUAACUCUGAAGAAACGGCAUUGCCUUCCAGCUUUGGGAUUUCAGCACUCUCCAAUGUUGGAUUGUUAAGUUGUCGAAUCAGUCUUGUUACAGGCAGACCAUUAAAUGGACCGACACUUCAGAUGUUCCAAUGACAGUUUAUUAAAUUUUCUGCCACCUACAACAGCCAACCAGUGAUGAUGCUUCAUGGAGUUCUUUGCCACUCAGAGUGUGGAUCCUAGCGGGCCUAGGUAUGAGACAGCUUUGGUCAUCUGGAUCAACAACAUUGGAAUCAGAACAUGGCAAGUAUGUCCCUAUUGCUUCUACUGGACUUCUCAGUGGCUACAUUACCAUAUAAUUCAAUUCAAAGCAGAUAAUCUGAAUUGUAUAUGGCAGUGUAGAAGGGGCUUGGAUCUCAUAUGAGUUGAUUCUCUUCCUAUUAGUCUUCUUCACUGUCCAACUUUCAGAAGCAGACAUAGAAUUUGAAAAUACGAUGGCAUGUGCCCAACGUUCAAUAAUAGGUCUUUACAUCUGUCAAUCACGUCUAGUUCUUUCAUGGUGGCCCUCCCCAGUACUAGCUUUCUCUUGUUGGAAAUAGUAAUCUCCCAAGGCUUCCACUAUUUAUUUGUUCAUGUAUAUAUUUGCUAACCUGUAUUCUAUAUGUAUGUUGUUUUGCCAAUUUGACUCUGGUGUGGUAGGAGUUAUAGACAUGUGAUUGUACUGAGCAUGUGCAGACUCAAGACUCCAUUUUGUAUUCAGUAUCUGUUUGGACUUCAGUGGGGGCAGCCUUGCAUCAGACCUCACUGGAGUUGGAUGCAAGUAUGUGUUUGAUCUUCAAUAAAAGCAGGUUGCUGUUUGGAUUUCAGUAGAAACUUCAAUGAAUACAGUAUGGUUAUGGACUUUGGUGAGUACAACUAUACCUAAAGACUAUUGACUAUUGAUAAAGAAUGAUACUCGUUAUACACAACACAGAGAAGCUACACCCUAUUUGUAACUGAAUUUCAAUAAGAAAUGUGUCUGUAUGGUGAGUUAAUAAAAGUUGUUAAUGAGUAAACAAGAUAUGUUAUUUUUCAAAGAAGACUUUGUUUUUAUCUCUGAGUGCAUAUUUUAACUAAAAGGUUUAAAGGGAGUGUAUAUCUUUUGGACAACUUCACCUGCAAAGAAAUAACCAUCCUCUGCUAACCAAAUACAUUUCUGUAGUUGCAUGUCUUUAUCUUUGGCAGUUUAAAGACAUGGUUCUUCAGUGUAACAGCUGAGUUACCUGUAUGUCAUUACAUUAAUGCUUGUGAAUAUCAUUUGUUCAAAGAGUUGAUUUCUAACAAGGUCAUGCUUUUUUUGACUACUGGUUUUCAAAAGGUGGUAUCCACAUUUUCAUGGAGAUUAACAUUUGCCAGAAGUAUUAUGUGCCCAUAGAUUGGGUGCAGUUAUAUUCCAACAGCGUAUGCAAUAGGUUAUGGAAUUUGAAAUAUCUCUUGAUUAUAUGGCUGCAGUGUACCAUGAUUUUCAUUAUCUGACUAUUUUCAUUGUCUGCGUUAAAGUUUUGUAAAUCAUGUUUGGCCAAUUAUUUUUGUUUCCUUACUCAGCUGUAAAUCUGACUUUGCACUUUCGUUCUUGACUUUCUUCGGUAAUUGUUCUAUCUUUGCUUUUUUCUGUUACUAGUAUGGUGUCAAGGAGCCAUGGUGGCGCAAUGGGUUAAACUCUUGUGCCAGCUGAACUGCUGACCUGAAGGUUGGGUUGCCGGUUUGAAUCCACGAAAUGGGUGAGCUCCCAUCUUUCAGCUCUAGCUUGCAGGGACAUGAGAGAAACCUCCUAGCAACACAUCCAGGCAUCCCCUGGGCAACGUCUUUAUAGACGGCCAAUUCUCUCACAUCAGAUGCGACUUGCAGUAUGUUCUCACAUUGCUUCUGACACAAUAAAAAAGUAUGGUGUCAUCCCUGUAUCUGUUUCAAGCAACAGAGACAGAAUUCACUCACAUUUUUACGGAAACAUGUUAGCAAAUACGAAAAACAAAAGGUUGACCCACAGAUUGGAAACUCUUAAUAUAUAUUCCAAUCCUCAAGAAAGGACACACCAAGGGUUGCAGUAAACCCAGCCUCAGAGGAAAGUGACAAAGCCGAAUGUCUCGCCACUCUUGCUCUUAGACAUAAAUUAACUAAGAAGUGUACAUAAUGUCCUGUGCUAAAGUAGCCUUUCCUCUCCCAAGUGUUCUAAAUAUACACAUCCACUGAAGUUUUAUUCUAAUGACACACAAAACAUCUUAUAAAUAUUAUUUUACAAUUAUGAAUAAAACAUACACAUUUUAAACAACUUAUACACGUACACACACAUAAAAAAACCACAGCACCCACUCAGUGAAAAUCCCCUUCUUUGUGAGGAAACUUGAUUGUUUAAUGCCUGUCGUGAAGAUAAUAGCUCACAUUACUAUUUCCUGAAAGAAAUGGUAUGAGCUGAGUUACUAUCUUUGAAAUAUAUAAGGUGAUUCAUAUGUUCUUUUCACACAUUAGGAAGCUAUUAUCCCAUACAUGAUUUCUCCCUGGAGAUUGUAAACUUUUCGAACCGCAUUCUUUCCAUCACAAAUUAAACACAAUAAUGUGAUGUUAACCUCUUUCUCUGAAGUGGCUGAAUACCCAUAUGAUUAUAAGACAAAAAGAAAAUCUUUACCUUCUUCCUUGCUACUCAGAAACACAAAUUAUUAGUGCCUUAACUUUAAGAACGAUUUGAUCUUCAACAAUUUCCAAAUUAUGUUGUUGAAGGCUUUCAUGACCAGAGUCACUGGGUUCCUUUGAGUUUUCCAGACUGUAUGACCAUGUUCCAGAAGCAUUCUCUCCUUAUGUUUUGCCCACAUCUAUGGCAAGCAUCCUCAGAGUUUGUGAGGUAUAUCUGCCAUAGAUGUGGGCAAAACGUCAGGAGAGAAUGCUUCUGGAACAUGGCCAUACUGCCUGGAAAACUCACAGCAACCCACUUUUAAAUUUAGCCAAUUUCACUAUCAUGUUUUAUUGAUUAGCCCAUCAGCCGUAUCAAAACAUUUAACACAUAGACAUACAUACAACAUCCAACCCACGGUACAAAAGAAGUUAAAAUAAACAAGCUAUAAACAAGAUCCCGUCCAGAUGAAAAUUUAGCCAAUUUCAUAAAAAUGAAAGUAGACAAAAAUAUUACAGGGAUAGGACCUGGUUCAUAGAGCAAAUUUUCUAUAUGGCUUCUCUUUUUUUAAAAAAAAAUCCAGAGCAAUCCAGCAUACUCAAAGCUGUUGUUGUUGUGUGCCUUCAAGACAUUUCCAACUUAUGGUGACGGAUUUUUCUGGGACUGAAUGUGUGUGACUUGCCCAAGAUCAACCAGUGUGCCCCUGGUGGUGCAGUGGAUUAAACCUUUGUGCCGGCAGGACUGAUGACUUGAAGGUUGGGUUGCUGACCUGAAGGUUGCCGGUUCGAAUCCAACCUGGGGAGAGCGCGGAUGAGCUCCCUCUAUCAGCUCCAGCUCCAUGCAGGGACAUGAGAGAAGCCUCUCACAGGGAUGGUCAAAACAUCAGGGUAUCUCCAGGGCAACGUCCCUGCAGACAGUUCUCUCACACCAGAAGCGACUUGCAGUUUCUCAAGUCGCUCCUGACACAAAAAAUAGUGUGUUUCCAUGACUGAGCGGAGAUAAUCCACAGUAUCUGCUUUGAACUGAAUUAUCUGAGUCCACACUGCCAUAUAAUCCAGUCCAAUGUGGAUUUUACACAGCUGUGUGGAAAGGGCCUUAGAGACACUUUAAUGGGUUUUUAUUUAAUAUAUUCCAGGAUAAAACAAUGGUGCAAAUUUAGGGCUAGCCAUUAGUAGAUGUUUCUUAGGGAUUCUGCCAGGCUUCUUGGAGAUGCUUGAACAGGAAAACAAAGGCCCUUCUACACUGCUAUAUAAUCCAGAUUAUCAAAACAGAUAAUCUGGAUUUUAUAUGGCAGUGUAGAAGGGACCAGAAUUGCAUUCGGUCAAGAAUACGUCAAGAAAAAAAGUGUUGAUUCAGCUACAAGAGUUUUGCAGGCGACCAGACUCAUCGGGCAUAGAUUCCUGCCAGCAAACCUCACCUUGAAAAAAAAUUCCUUCCUAUAUAUUCUUUAUAGAAGACAUCUGUACUCCCUCUUAUCUUUCAAUCAGCACCCCCAUUUAAAUCUGUCCGUGUUUUCCAGGCAGCAUUUGCAUUUUUACAGUCUGUAGAUGAAUGCUUUUCUUGGCAAAACUACGUGAUGCAUAUUUUUCUGGACAUUACAUUCCGCAAAACAUGUGAUUUAUGUUUCUUUUCAUAUUCCCAGGCAUAUUCCCAGGAAUUUAGUAACACAGGUAAUUUAUGUUUAUACUCUAGCAGGUAUUGCCCUACAUAAAAUCAGCAAUGCUUGGUUACUGGAACUGGGCUGUUGCGUACCUUCUUCUUUGACAACAAAAAGAAGCUUUGUAUACAAGCUUUUGUCAAUUUUACACAAACGCAGCAAUGUUUAAAACUGAGCAAAAUAAAAAAAUACUGCAAUCUUCAAACAUGUCCCUUCAACAUAGCCAUAUAACCCAGAAAAUCAAGGCAGAAAAUCCUACAAUAUCUGCUUUGAACUGGGUUAUUGGAGUCCACACUGCCAUAUAUUCCAGUUCAGAGCAGAAAAUUUGGAAUUUUAUUCAGCCCUGUGGAAGGUUCCUGAGAGUGAUGGAGAAGGAGAAUGGAUAAAUAGCAAAUAAAUGCAAAAGUGUGGAAUUCCAUACAUAGGGAUUAUGACAUUGAAAUCACAAUGUUUUGAGAAGGCAAAACAUUGAUAUUUCCGUGUGUUAAUAAAACAUUUUUCCUCCAUUUGAUAUUUCUGCUCUAACAGUCUUUCAUUUUAUUCAAUUGGAUGUUUUACAUAUGGUCGUUAGCUGAUUUGAGGGUUUUUUGAAGGAUGUAAAGGUGGGGACAAUGUUUUCAAUGAAUAAAUAAAUAAACAGGAAAGCUUGACUUUA